rnacentral:rRNA from 1 species
UACGUAGGGUGCAAGCGUUGUCCGGAAUUAUUGGGCGUAAAGGGCUCGUAGGCGGUCCAUCACGUCGGGAGUGAAAAGCUGGGGCUUAACCCCAGUCCUGCUUCCGAUACGGGUGGACUAGAGGUAGGCAGGGGAGAACGGAAUUCCUGGUGUAGCGGUGAAAUGCGCAGAUAUCAGGAGGAACACCGGUGGCGAAGGCGGCAUCCUGGACCAACACUGACGCUGAGGAGCGAAAGCCAGGGGAGCAAACGGG